rnacentral:lncRNA from 1 species
UUCAGGGGUGAAUUAGGCCAAUUGUCUCAUUAAUGUUUUCGCAAUGCAGUGCUUGAACACAAUAUCUGAACGAUAACUUGGCUGGCUCCCCUGUUUUGAAGGAUGAUCCAAUGUUCUUACAUGCUCUUGAUGUCAGCUUUUCCACUUCAAUCGGUUGUCCAGACUUGUUUCCACCAUUUCUCCUGGAAGAUUUUCCUGACUCUGGGCUUGUCUCGACCUUCUGAUUAAUGCAUACAUGAUUGAAAGAGCUAAUGUCUAUUUAAGCGCCUAAAUAUGGAGUUAGGAGCGUAACUUUAAGCACCCAGGUUUGAAAAAUAUUGGCCUAAAGGCUAAAGCAUUUAUGUGAGGGUUGUUUUUUUUUUUUUUAAGAAAUCAAUGUAUUCCAUGUGCUGUGGCAAUAGCUGCAGAAAACUUGUCCAAUCACCUCCUAGAAUCUAAACUCAAAUUUCUUUCUGGUUGGGUAGGACCAAGCAAUGUGCUUCAAAGGCACUUUUUGGCCACUCCUCUCACAGGAAUUUUAAUUUUGAGUUUAAUAACUCUGUUAGGGAUAUUUUCCUAUCUAAAUAGAAUCUAACACUAAAUAUUUAUUAAAUUUACUAUUAUGGCAGCAUGCUCCACAUAAUCCUAAAUAUAUAGCUUCACCUGAUGUGACUCUUCUGUUUUUACUUCUUAUUCCCAUCUAUUUUUAUAUUCUAAUGAUGAAAUAUGCAGUAAUUUUGAUCAUGUAAUAUUCCUGUUUAACCUCUAGUUUGUAGACUUUUUAUUUUAUCUCUUCCUCCCACACUGCCACACUUCAGAUCUAUCUGGUCCUACCAUCUUGUGAUUCAUUAUCCAUCAUGACAUGUACCUGAUAAGAGAGAAAUUUAAUUAAGACAAAAGUCUUUGACACUAGAUCAUCUAUGAAAGCAUAUUUCUGCUGUAUGGCUGUCUGUAGGUUUGAAUAUGAAAGAUCUGACACUUAAGAACUCAACCAAAAGCCUCUGACGUAGAAGAUUGGGUCUG